CAAAGCAUUGUGGGUCCUGGGCUUCCGUGGCCCCCAACCUCUUCCUUCGGGCGGGGAUGGCGACGGUGCUGUGACUUUCCGGCCGCCGCGCCCACCCCCCCCCCCCCCCCCCGGCACGGUGCCGCGUACACAGUGGGCGCUCAGUACCCGGGGGCGACGGGACCGAUCGGCCGUGGUUCAGCCCUCUGGGGACCCAGAUCCGAAGCGGGACCCGGCGAGAGCGGGUCCGCUCCGAAAGCACCGCGCGCCCAGCAGGUGCCGGGCGGGCUGCAAGGGCGGGAGAUGCCAGCGCUGAGAAGACACGCAGCGGCGUCCUCGGCGGGUCUGCGUGUGUAUGGCCACCGGCAACACUGACUCCCUUCAGAGCUCGUGACUCGGUGCUGCCGACUCCCCUGAACUCCAGGCCCACAUUUGGACAUGAGACACAUCGUCGUGGGCACAGAAGUCAGACCUUGAAGCCACCCUGCCUCCUCAUUCCCUACAUCUGGUCCUUGAGUGAAUUCUGUUGGCUCUCCCUUCAAAGUACAUCCGGAACUGUGUUUGACUUGUUCCAGACUGCCACCCUGAUCCUGCUCUAGAUUUCAAAAGGCUGUAAGAAAUAGUAACCAACUGCAAUGCAAAACGAAAAUACACGUAAAAAGAUGUUUGGAGGGACUCCUGUGUGGCUCAGUCGGUGAAGCGGCCGACUUCGGCUCAGAUCGCGAUCUUGCGGUUUGUGAGUUCGAGCGCAGAGCCCAUUUUGGAUCCUCUGUCUAACCCUCCCCCCUUGCUCUUUCAGAAAUAAACACUCAAAAAUAAACAUUUAGAAAACCGGGGAAGUUAGAACGUGUCAUGAGGCACAUCUGGGUGGCUCAGUCAGGUUAAGCGUCCGACUCCGUUUUGGCUGAGGUCAUGAUCUCAGUUCUUGAGACUGAGCCCCAUGUCAGGCUCUACGCUGACAGCACAGAGCCUGCUUGGGAUUUUCUCUCUCUCCUCUCUUCCCCUCCCUCACUCUCUCAGAAUAAACACUAAAAAAAGAAAAAAAAAAAA